AACGUAGGAGACGAACGUUAUCCGGAGUUACUGGGCGUAAAGGGCGUGUAGGCGGUAUGUUAAGUCUGGCGUGAAAGCUCUCGGCUAAACCGGGAGAGGUCGUUGGAUACUGACACACUAGAGGAUGGUAGAGGCGUGUGGAAUUCCGGGUGUAGUGGUGAAAUGCGUAGAGAGUCCGGAGGAACACCCAGUGGCGAAGGCGACACGCUGGGCCAUACCUGACGCUGAAAGCA
rnacentral:rRNA from 1 species